rnacentral:rRNA from 1 species
ACAUCCUUUGACCACUCUGGAGACAGAGCUUUCCCUUCGGGGACAAAGUGACAGGUGGUGCAUGGUUGUCGUCAGCUCGUGUCGUGAGAUGGUGGGUUAAGUCCCGCAACGAGCGCAACCCUUGAUUGUAGUUGCCAGCAUUUAGUUGGGCACUCUAAAGUGACUGCCGGUGCAAGCCGGAGGAAGGUGGGGAUGACGUCAAAUCAUCAUGCCCCUUAU